rnacentral:rRNA from 1 species
UACAGAGGUCCCGAGCGUUGUCCGGAUUUAUUGGGCGUAAAGAGCGUGUAGGCGGCCAGGUAGGUCCGGUGUGAAAACUCGAGGCUUAACCUCGAGAUGUCAUCGGAAACCAUCUGGCUAGAGUCCGGAAGAGGAAAGUGGAAUUCCUGGUGUAGCGGUGAAAUGCGCAGAUAUCAGGAAGAACACCCGUGGCGAAGGCGGCUCUCUGGGACGGUACUGACGCUGAGACGCGAAAGCGUGGGGAGCGAACAGG